GCGUCUACUUGGUAUCCAAGCUUA
rnacentral:miRNA from 1 species